ACUUAACCUAACUCUCUCAGUUCUCUCACUGUUUCCAAAAUGUUUCACUCCCAUCGUGAUAGUUCUCCCAUCGUUUGACAGAGCUUCCAUCUUAACAGAGCUCCCAUCGUUUGAAAGAGAAUCAGAUUUUUCACUUUAAGGUUUCAAAUUUAAGAGAGACUUGGAUGAAUGGCGUCAGACACAUCCUACUUCAGAGGUUGAUUCCUCAUCAUCUAGUGGUAUUACAUCUAUAUGGAUAAAUGUGGCAGGAGGUGUGAAGAAAGGUAUAGUUUACGGAAUGGGAUCACAACCUUCCUCGUUUCAUCCAUCAUCAUUGUUGUUUGGUGCUUCUACUUCUCAAUCUUCGGAAGAAAUGGAAGCGAUGCGAAGACAAAGUUUAGAGCUUACAGAACGACUUCAAAAAUCUGAAGCUAACUUUGCUAAAGUGCAAAAAUUCAUGGAGAAACAUUGGUUGAAUCUGAUGAAAGUGAAGGGACUGACUCUGAUGAAGAGUAGAUUAUUUUAUAGUUGUUUAGAUAUUUUCUUAGGCAUGUUUUGAACAUUUUACUUCCUUUUUUUGCAUAACAACUUAAUACUUAUUAGACAUGAUUUUGGUGAUGUUUGGGAUUUUAGACUCAAUUGAAUUGAAUAGAAUCCAAUAUGAAUGUUUUGGAAUGUAUUCGAUGUUUGAUUUUUUUUU